UGUGUGGCGAGCGAAGGCCACCGGAGUUCCGUCGCCGGAAUUUUGUGCCGGCGAAAGUCAGUGGUCCCAAUUUCAUAAGCGGCUCGUUCUAUUAAGUCAGCGAAAAUUCUCCGUUACAAGACUAGGUGAGCUGGUGCUGCUGCAUGACAUCAAGCAUAUGGGG